AAAAACUCGCCUCGUCCCCGAACGCACGCACGGCCGCACCUCUCUUAUCCUUUUCUUCGUUCCCCACUCUCUCGCCAUUUCUUCAUCGCACAUGGGACAGAGGAGCGAGAGAGAGCCCUUGCGCAGGCGGCGAGGCGGCCGGCGGCGAGCCAAUCGGCAGUUAUGCAGCCUGCGCCGUACCCGAAGCUGUGCGAUGUCAGGAGAGGAGGCGUGUGGCGGCGAGGCGAGGAGCGGGAAGAGGCGGGUGAAGCUGCUGUGAUUCGAAUCCUCGAUGGUGGUCGGCGGAGGCAGCAGUCGGCCAAGAUGCCGGCGCGCGGCGCCGUGUUGACGGUGGAGGAGGGAGCCUCGCGCGCGUGGUGAUUGCCGGUCACAGAGGCCGAGGUGCUAGGGGUGGAGAUUGAUGGGCUCGUCGUCCCCGCCGGCCGCCGCCGGCCCCGUCCUCACGCUCCAGCUGGAUCGACCGAUGGAGCUCUUCUGCGCCACCACCAGCCCCGCGGGCGCGCAACCCCGCCACAUCGGUGCGGCCGGACCGACGCUGCCUAUGCGACUACGUCGAGGACGGACUCGUGUGUCAAGGAUGACGAGGAGGAGAACCACGCCGCGGCCCCGUGUUUGGUGCCUACCAAGGGAUCUCCGCCCGCCCCACGUCCUAGCGCGCCUUCGCCCCGCGUGGUCCUGGGCUCCACCAUCGCCUUGUGCAGAUGGGGAUCUGCCACGCGACGGUGCCGUCGGGGCAGGGGUAGCUUGAUUACAAGCUCGACGGUGACGCACAUAUUUGGUCCUCGAGCUGACUACGGCAACAACGUAGUGAGUUUCAAUAGCUCCCACAAUUUCUUUGUUUGCAAAUUUUUGUAGAUGUCGCCAUUUAGCAUUGUGUAGUUAUUUGUGCAGUCACUUUUUUGCAGGUGAUGAGAUGCUAAUGGACUAGAUUUCCUUGGCAAUUCUAGGAAACUAUAGUUCAUGGACACCCCCAAAAUGCAGUGGUUGGAGCCUUCCACCUUCUUUCACCAGUGAGAACACGAUUGCUCCUUGCCUUCGUCGGUCGUUCGGUGGAGUGAGGGGAGGAUCCUAGUUCUCGGCCAUCUAUGUGGUUUAAGUCAUUCAUAUCUCUAGCGUUGCUUCCACAUUGGAGGGGUGGCCUAUGCGGUGUUCAAAGCUUCAUCUGUUGGAAACUUGGUUGUCUUAGUGUGGAGUGCGGGUAUGUUGUAUGUAUCCUUCUGCAGAUUUGCCUUGGAGGCCCGCGAGAAGUUCCGGCAGGCAGCGAGGAAUGGUAGCAGAAUGUGAGUCACGCAUGACCUUUGUUAUUUCCACAUUUUACGAUGGCCCUUCUGCGAUGAGUGGGCUUCGUUUGAAUCAUUUUCACUUGGUAGGUUUCAGUCACAUCGAAACCUAGUUUUGGGGGGUCUGUAUCUCAAAAGGUAUAGCCUAAUGUUGAGAAGAAGCAGCGGGCCUCCUACCUUCGCAUCUCUUCUUAGCGUAGUUAAGCAUGCUAACUUUAGCUCAAAAAAGAAAACAUGUUCAUUUCAGAAAUAGUGAUGAUAACAUGUUGUCUUGGCUAGAUAACUUGCUCGAUUUAGACGCGUGGCAAUUAUAUUGCACGCGGAUUCUUUUUGGAAAGCACAAACUCAAUGCUCAACAAUACUCCCUCCGUUCCUUUACAAGGUGUAUUUGUUUUUUCAAAAGUCAAACAAGGGCGUGUUUGAUCAAGUUUUUGGAAAAACAUAUCGACAUCUACAAUACAAAAUUUAUAUCAUUUGAUCCAUCAUGAAAAGUAGUUUCAUAUUUUAUUUAUUAUGUAUUGCAGAUGUUGUUAUUUUAUUAUAUAAUCUUGGUCAAACAUUUAAAAUGGUUGAUUUGCAUGGAAACUAAUAUACCUUAUAUUCUGGAAUGGAGGGGAAUCGGACAAUCACAUAAGCAUAUGCUCAUCUUUUUUUUUUUGGUCGGGAAGCACAUGAGCACUCGGCAAUUACUAGCAGGGGGCAUCGGUGGCAAGCUAGGUGUUUUUUUAAGUACAGUUCUUUCUUUCUUUUUGCUUUUGCCAAGUUUGAGUUGUUUACCACGCGCGUGUGUUAAAAAAAGAGGGUUGUUUACCACGUGUGCCACGUGGUAAGCACAGCUUUAUUCCAUGAUUAAAAUCCAAGUACACGCAUGUUCACAUACAUAUGGUUGUCCCUUACACAAAGAGUGAAGUUCAAUGGAGCUUGCUGGCGCCGCGUGCUGCCUUGGAAGAAGCUGGAUUGAAAGGAGGAAGCGACGUUGGUCCGGUCACGGUGGCGACCCCUUCCGAUUGGGCGAAGCCGCCAUGGCCAGCAUCCUCCACUGCAUGCACGAUUAACCAAAUAAGCAGAUUAACCGAUCGAUUUACGAUUAACCAGAUAAGCGCGAGACUGUAAUUAAUGAGUUUAUUGAUUGUAUGCAUACGGCACACAGGAUGGUAGCACGUACAUGUGGAGGAGAGGCCGAUCAUGUCAUGGUCUUUCAGAGUGUUGUGGACUGGAGCACCUUUGCCGGCAGCGGAAGAGAUCAUCAGCAGCGAGAGCAGCGCGGCCAAGAGCAAGGCCGCCUUGUUGUUCUUCAUCGCCGCGUCUGCGAGCGUGGCGCGUGAUCAGUGCGUGCGUGUUUAUGUGUGGAUCACCAGAUGGGUGGGAACAGAAGGGAGCUGCAUCGUCUUCUGCCCGGCCGGUCUAUAUAUACGCCAGCUCUGUCCAUGUAUGUAUGGAGCGGUUUGGGGCUCCUUAAAGCGGCCUUGUUAGUAGCACGUGGUGUGGCAUGUGAGGAGCGACCGAGCGAGAAUCAAAAUCUCCACCUAGUUAGGGCCGGCCAAUUAAUCCAUCCCCUGAUUAUUAUUAUAGGUGUGCUGGAGCAAGAAAAAAAAUACUAAUGGACUUGUUGCUAAAGCCACUGGAGUAGAACGGUGAUGGAUCCCUAUUUUUGCGUGUGGAGGAGUAUGUUCCAUUAACUAAAUCUCGAUCAACACGAUCCAAUUCACAAAGGUUUACAACCUGUUGAGGGCCGGACCCUAUCCAGACUGCGGCCUUUAACAUUAUCUCGACCGAUCCUAGCAAGUACACACCGUCACCAUAGCAUGUGAACGGUCACGGCUCCCUCAUCUCAUGCAUCAACCCACGCCGUCACUGUAGCAUUUGAACGGUGUCCCUUCUACCAUCUGCCAUCCUAUCUACCAUCACCAUCCAUAACUCUUUACUUUGUUCUCUAAAAAAACAUCUUUAGUUUGUGGACAAUGCGCUAAUUAUUGUCGAAACAUCUUCCGGCGUCGCGGCCAUGCAUUUAAAAAACAUUUUACUCUCUUCGGAUGGGAAUGUAAGUAGGGCAUGGGUUUCUAGGUCCUGGAUUUGAGUAGCAAAACAUGUAUUGUGUAUGUUAUAAAAAUUAUAUAUCUAGACUCAUUAUCGAAUGAUAUUUCUACACAUAUUCUUUGUGGCAUACAAGUUUCAUCAAUUAAAUUAAUGACCUAAAUUCUUGUGCCCGAUUUAUUUCCAUCUAAAGGGUGCAAA